AUUCCAGCUCCAAUAGCGUAUAUUAAAGUUGUUGCAGUUAAAAAGCUCGUAGUUGGAUUUCUGACAGGGGGCCGAACACCACUGUAGUGAGUGUUUUGGUACCUGUCAUCCUUCUGUUAACCCUAGCGUCAUUCAUUUGUCGUUGGGCGGACCAGAUACUUUACCUUGAGAAAAUUAGAGUGUUUCAGGCAGGCCUAGCCGGAAUACAUUAGCAUGGAAUAAUGGAAUAGGACUAUAGUCUCGUCGUUGGUUACGUGGACUGCAGUAAUGGUUAAUAGGGACAGUUGGGGGUAUUCAUAUUUACAUGUCAGAGGUGAAAUUCUUGGAUUUUGGAAAGAUGAACUACUGCUAAGGCAUUUACCAAGGAUGUUUUCAUUG
rnacentral:rRNA from 1 species